rnacentral:lncRNA from 1 species
UUUAAGAGUUAUUCGGAGAAUCGAUGUAUUUAAAAUAAUAAUAAUAGACGAUUAGAUUGGUGCGGGAGAUUUUCAGAUUUAUGAUAUUGGUCGGAGUUGUAAAUAAAAGCUAAAUAAUUUUAUGAGGAAAUUGCGUUAAAAAACGGCGUAAAAGUAUCGUAGUAAAUUUAAAAAAGGCCGAGAAAAAGAAUAUGAAGUAAGUACCACCCGGGGUUAUGACCAGUAGUACUUCUCGGUUGAGACUGAUAAGCGAGAACGUAAUUCUCCAGCCCAUCUAUCUUCUGGCCUUGCUCCCUAGGCGAAAAUCAGUCCGAGCCCAAUCCAUACAAUACUUUGUUCCGAAAUCGUCAUUUCGGUUUAUAAUUAUUGAAACUCUCCAUUUUUUUCCUUUUCUUUGGUUUAAAGAAGUUUCAAUAAUUCUUAUUCUCGAUAAAAAAACAGAGGCAUUUGAAAGAAAGUUUUAAUUUAGGAGUUACCAGAAACGGAAACAAAUCCUUGUUUUGCCUUAGUAAUUGC